CUAGUCGUUGGAGAUGGUAUUCUCCUAUCACUUCAGGUUAUAAACUGUGUGUGGUUUGCCCACUAAUAAUGCCUAUUAGUUU
rnacentral:ncRNA from 1 species